rnacentral:rRNA from 1 species
UACGUAGGGUGCAAGCGUUGUCCGGAAUUAUUGGGCGUAAAGAGCUCGUAGGCGGUUGGUCGCGUCGGCUGUGAAAACCCGGAGCUCAACUCCGGGCCUGCAGUCGAUACUGGCCGACUUGAGUGUUGCAGGGGAGACUGGAAUUCCUGGUGUAGCGGUGAAAUGCGCAGAUAUCAGGAGGAACACCGGUGGCGAAGGCGGGUCUCUGGGCAACAACUGACGCUGAGGAGCGAAAGCGUGGGGAGCGAACAGG